rnacentral:rRNA from 1 species
GUUAUGUUCUUGAAACCCAAAGAAUUUGGCGGUAAUUUAGUCUUUUCAGAGGAACCUGUUACAUAAUUGAUAAUCCACGAUUUUGUUUACUUAUAUUUGUAUAUCAAUUUUUAUACCGCCGUCAUAAGAAUAUUUUUUUAGAACGAAUUUUCUUGAUUUAUUAAUUAAAGUAUGUCAGGUCAAGGUGAAGUUUAUAUGUAAGUGUUAAUGGGUUACAUUGGAUUUAUCUAUAUGGAUAAUUAAUUUGUUUUUUAAUUUGAAGGUGGAUUUGAUAGUAAAUUGAUUAAUUUAAUUGUUUGAUGUUAGCUCUAAAUUAUGCACACA